CAUCUAUGAGUUUUCUAAGAGUGUCUCACAUCUAAAACUCUUUCUCCUAUCUCUCAUCUUUGGAAGAGUCCAAAUCAAGAAUAAGGAGGCAUCUGAUCGACCAUCGAAGAUAGAUCAGCACAGUACUAGCAUACUGUGCUGAUUUCCUAGACCAGGACUUCUGAUCGUGAUUCAUGGGCUCGUGUGGAUGACUCCUAGAGGUCAGACAUAUGUGUAGCUUGCAAUAUCAUCCUCAAGCCUGGAUCAGUAAAGUUAGAACAUUUAACUUGCAAGGUAAUAGAUCUGAUCUAUUA
rnacentral:lncRNA from 1 species